ACAACAUUGUCUUGGCUGCACUUCCUCCACAAACCAGAGCCGACGGUUGCAGUGUCCUACACCUGUUUUGCUACACACUGAGAAGCCAGGGCUAGAAUGCUUCUGCAAGAAAAGCCUCGUUUUGACGUUGGAGGAUGACAGCAACAAGCGACGGUUGCACCAAGAUGAUGACAUCAGACAUAAAAGACGAUAACGGUUCAUUGCUUGCUUGUCAGUCCCAGGAUUGACAGGCCACCAGUCCAGUCAGCCGGGAUAGGCUCCAGCUUCGCUGUGACCCUGAAGCACAGAAGUCUGUGGUUAUAAUCACCAAAAAAUUGGAAUACAAAGGUAAACAGGCUCCAUUCACUACAGUAUUGCUAAUACAACACUACCCUCUAGUGGUGACAAAUGAAGAUACACCGCUUGGGACGCUGUUGUUGGCACUUAACGUAUUUCUAACUGAUAUUAAAAUUAGUCAACAGCAGUCAAAAACUACUCAAAACACAUCCAGCUUGAGGUGGAAGUCGUUUAAGGUAGCGUAUUAUACAAAUGCACGGGUACCUUAAAGCCACAUUAUGGGAAUAUUGUUUUGGUGGUUUACUAUGGGAAACCAUAUCAAAGCCAUACAUCUUGUCUUAUGAUGACAAAGCAGUAUGGGCUUUGUAAUUUUGAUAAAACAAGUGGCUUGGAUGUCUUACAGGGAGGGAGGACGAUUCUGCAUUUUUGACCCUUCUUGAUGAUGUAGCUUCACAGUCGUUAAACACGUCUUAUCAUAUUCUAUAUUUGACCAUCUUUGGACCCGUUUAUUGUGUUUCUGUGUGGUAUUUGUUAUGUUUUUAAACAUUUUAGGGGGGUAGGCCAUUAGUAGUGUAGUGGGUCACGCAGGAAUCAUAGCCGGGGAUCAGUUCCCCCUCAAUGCAAUCGUCCCAGGAUUCACUGGUGAGCAGUCCAGGGU